GGUUCCGUGGUGAAAAGGAUAUCAUUCCGCCCUCCGAAGGCGGCGUUUUGGGUUCGAAUCCCGACGGGACCGCCA
rnacentral:tRNA from 1 species